AGCUCUCUCAUAACUUCCUUGCACUCAGGAACCUUUUCCUUCUUCAUGAAGGAGAGAGGAUUGGCUUGGCGGACGGGAUUGGUGAUUCCACUGUUGCUGGUGAUGCUCACUCGAGACUUGUGCGCAUACCCUCCCUCCGUCACCUCAUCGCAGUCCGAAUCGCUGCUCUUCUCCAGCGACACCUCGCACACAUCUUCCUCGUGGUCGCCGUCCGCCUCGAUGUUAAUUGGACACGGCAUGUGUCGCAAUACACCUUCCCUUCCACGAAGAACCGAUCCUUCUUGCAGGCUGCCAGGUUAAGAAGCGACAUGAAGCAAAGGGCUGAAACAAGCAUGAUUGCGGAUUUUGCCAUUGUUUUUGUUUUUUCUUCUUCUUCUUCUUCUUUGCUUGUUCGCUCUUUUGGCUUUUGAUUGAGAGGUGUGGAUGAAGAUGGAGAAUGAACUGCUGUUUUUAUAGCUCUAUUUUGGGGUUCAAUUCGUUACUCGAUUGCUAUUCUUAGGAGCUUAGAAAUGAUUUCUUGUUAUUAAUUUGUUGCCAAAAAAUUAGGCUUCCCUCUUUGAUUGAGUCAAAUUGUAAAAAUGUUUGGAAAAAACAAUCAUUUCUUUACUCUA